rnacentral:rRNA from 1 species
GUGGGGAAUCUUGCGCAAUGGGCGAAAGCCUGAUCCAGCCAUGCCGCGUGUGUGAAGAAGGUCUUCGGAUUGUAAAGCACUUUAAGUUGGGAGGAAGGGCAGUAAGUUAAUACCUUGCUGUUUUGACGUUACCGACAGAAUAAGCACCGGCUAACUUCGUGCCAGCAGCCGCGGUAAUACGAAGGGUGCAAGCGUUAAUCGGAAUUACUGGGCGUAAAGCGCGCGUAGGUGGUUUUGUAAGUUGGAGGUGAAAUCCCCGGGCUCAACCUGGGAACUGCCUCCAAAACUGCAUGACUAGAGUACGGUAGAGGGUAGUGGAAUUUCCUGUGUAGCGGUGAAAUGCGUAGAUAUAGGAAGGAACACCAGUGGCGAAGGCGACUACCUGGACUGAUACUGACACUGAGGUGCGAAAGCGUGGGGAGCAAACAGGAUUAGAAACCCCGGUAGUCC